AGAGUUUGAUCCUGGCUCAGGAUGAACGCUGGCGGCGUGCCUUAGGCAUGCAAGUCGAACGGUUGAGGUCGCAAGACCAAGACAGUGGCAGACGGGUGAGUAACGCGUAGGAAUCUACCUCUGGGUAAGGCAUAGCCGGCCGAAAGGUCGGGUAAUACCUUAUAGUUCUCGUAAGAGUAAAGGACUUAACGGUCCGCCGA
rnacentral:rRNA from 1 species